CCUACGGGAGGCAGCAGUGGGGAAUUUUGGACAAUGGGGGAAACCCUGAUCCAGCCAUCCCGCGUGUAUGAUGAAGGCCUUCGGGUUGUAAAGUACUUUUGGCAGAGAAGAAAAGGUACCUCCUAAUACGAGGUACUGCUGACGGUAUCUGCAGAAUAAGCACCGGCUAACUACGUGCCAGCAGCCGCGGUAAUACGUAGGGUGCAAGCGUUAAUCGGAAUUACUGGGCGUAAAGCGUGUGUAGGCGGUUCGGAAAGAAAGAUGUGAAAUCCCAGGGCUCAACCUUGGAACUGCAUUUUUAACUGCCGAGCUAGAGUAUGUCAGAGGGGGGUAGAAUUCCACGUGUAGCAGUGAAAUGCGUAGAUAUGUGGAGGAAUACCGAUGGCGAAGGCAGCCCCCUGGGAUAAUACUGACGCUCAGACACGAAAGCGUGGGGAGCAAACAGGAUUAGAUACCCUGGUAGUCCACGCCCUAAACGAUGUCAACUAGCUGUUGGGGCCGUUAGGCCUUAGUAGCGCAGCUAACGCGUGAAGUUGACCGCCUGGGGAGUACGGUCGC
rnacentral:rRNA from 1 species